rnacentral:rRNA from 1 species
GAUGAACGCUGGCGGCGUGCUUAACACAUGCAAGUCGAACGAUGAAGCUGGAGCUUGCUCUGGUGGAUUAGUGGCGAACGGGUGAGUAACACGUGAGCAACCUGCCCCUGACUCUGGGAUAACAGCCGGAAACGGCUGCUAAUACCGGAUAUGCACCAUGAACGCAUGUUCUGUGGUGGGAAAGAUUUUUCGGUUGGGGAUGGGCUCGCGGCCUAUCAGCUUGUUGGUGAGGUAAUGGCUCACCAAGGCGUCGACGGGUAGCCGGCCUGAGAGGGUGACCGGCAACACUGGGACUGAGACACGGCCCAGACUCCUACGGGAGGCAGCAGUGGGGAAUAUUGCACAAUGGGCGAAAGCCUGAUGCAGCAACGCCGCGUGAGGGAUGACGGCCUUCGGGUUGUAAACCUCUUUUAGCAGGGAAGAAGCGAGAGUGACGGUACCUGCAGAAAAAGCGCCGGCUAACUACGUG